AGUGAACGCUGGCGGUAGGCCUAACACAUGCAAGUCGAACGGCAGCACAGUAAGAGCUUGCUCUUACGGGUGGCGAGUGGCGGACGGGUGAGGAAUACAUCGGAAUCUACUUUUUCGUGGGGGAUAACGUAGGGAAACUUACGCUAAUACCGCAUACGACCUACGGGUGAAAGCAGGGGAUCUUCGGACCUUGCGCGAUUGAAUGAGCCGAUGUCGGAUUAGCUAGUUGGCGGGGUAAAGGCCCACCAAGGCGACGAUCCGUAGCUGGUCUGAGAGGAUGAUCAGCCACACUGGAACUGAGACACGGUCCAGACUCCUACGGGAGGCAGCAGUGGGGAAUAUUGGACAAUGGGCGCGAGCCUGAUCCAGCCAUACCGCGUGAGUGAAGAAGGCCUUCGGGUUGUAAAGCCCUUUUGUUGGGAAAGAAAAGCAGCAGGUUAAUACCCCGCUGUUCUGACGGUACCCAAAGAAUAAGCACCGGCUAACUUCGUG
rnacentral:rRNA from 1 species